CAAGAGAGAACUGGCAGCCAAAAACAUCACAUUCUCUCUGAUGUUCCCUGCGAAGCUGUGCGUCACCCAUGUGAGCAAGACCCUGUACCUGUACCUGAUGCCGAGUCCUUCCUGCGCUCCAUUGGGAUUAAACCACCUUCCAGAUCCGAGGACAGGGUCCGGAAAAAUAUGCCGACUAUGUGGCAAAUUGUUGGGCCCAGAAGGAGUGAGAGACAAGGACACAAAUCUACCGUGGAACACUGUCCAGUCCACAUUGACUACUGAAGCGACCCCUUUUUCUUAAGGACUGGAAACGACCUGGAUUUAUGCUCAUAACUGGGAUCUUAUUGUUAGAAUAAUUCAUCAAUCUUUGGCCUCCAGUUUAUUGGGAUGAUAGGGUAAUCAUUCAAUCUGGAACAAACAGAAUAGCCUGCUUUCCUCAUUCCCAAUGUCUCUUUUAGUAGGCUAUAGAGUCAAGAUUAUAAAUGCUUUACGUUGUUUUUAAUGGCAAUUACAUAUAGGCUAUCCAAGUGUAGGUUGGUUAAAAUAUUAGCAUAAAAUGUGAUUUUGGAUUAAGUUGAAUUUCCAAGCAUUGAACCCUUACUGUUUAGAACAGCCUGUUUAGAGGGAGAGAGAUAUCCUGCCCUCAUAUGAUUGUAUUAUUGCUUUUAUUUUUGGAUUCUGUUUUCUUAUAGUCUAAUAUUAUUUGAGUUGGGAAUACAUUUUAUAGGCUACGGAGCUAUAUUUCCUAGUUUAUAACGGAGUGCAGUGAAUGUCUCAUCCAUGCACGUCUGUUUAUGGGCUCCUCACAUUUUUUUGUGUCUUAUUGAUUUAUUUUUGCAUCCAGGCUACUCUUUAAAAGAUAGGUCACUGAAGUAAAAUUGUCUAGUGAUAAAUAUUAGGUCAGAUAUACUUUAAUAUAGGCCGAAAUAUCACUUAGUUUACACAAUUGCCCCGCUACUGGGUCUUGUGAGGUAUCCCCCCUCGUUUAAAGAACACCACACCACCUAGAUCUGCCACCCAGGAAUGUGGCAGUGUAAUGCGUUCUACUUUUAAUUUCACUGUUUCCCUUCGUUCUAGUGGAGACACUUGUUUUUGUGACAAUGUUCUUGUUGUUUCUCUGUGUGUUUUGUACUGAAAAAACAGACAAAGGAGCGUUUCUGUCUGCAGUUAUGGGUACAAGGAAAAGGCCAAUUCAAAUCAAGCUAAAACGAAUGGAUGUUGACAUUGCCCUCCUCCAGGAGACCCACCUAUCAGACGAGGAACACAAAAAGCUUAAAGAGAAUGGGAAACCAGACCCAUCCACACAGCUCAGUGCAUGCACUGUAUGUUAGGUAUACUAGCAGAGAGAAGGACUGAGGGGUGGAUGAGACCGCUGAGUGCUCUACUUGAAACAAAACACUCAGCCAUUGGUAUGAGCCUGGGCCAAGAGGCUUAAUGCAACCUCACAGUCUUCUGUUCUGCUGGACAGAUAAUAGCCAUUACUGCCUCAAUGGGAGGGAGGAACAUCAAGGAAAAUGUUGAGAUUCGGUGAAACAGUGUGUAGGGAAAAUUUGAAUGUUUGUGCUAUUUUUAGGACUAUUAAUAUUCUUAGAACUCACUUCUGUGUUCUAUUCAUAUGCUGUUCUGUAAAACAAUUUCUGUGUUCAUGCAAAUGGCUCACUGUAAAAAUCCUCACUAUCAGCAGCUGCAAUUUGACAGUAUGCCCAGACCGUGUUUUGAGAACGAAAGACCGUGUUUUGAGAACAAAUGAAAGAGAUCUCAGUUUCAAGGUCUCCGCUUAGAGAGAAGAAGCCUC